rnacentral:rRNA from 1 species
CACGUAGUUAGCCGGAGCUUCCUCCUUAGGUACUGUCUUUUAUCUUCCCUAACGACAAUAGUUUACAAUCCGAAAACCUUCUUCCUAUACGCGGCGUCACUGCGUCAGAGUUUCCUCCAUUGCGCAAUAUUCCCCGACUGCUGCCUCCCGUAGGAGUCUGGGCCGUAUCUCGGUCCCAAUGUGGCCGUUCAACCUCUCAGUCCGGCUACUGAUCGUUGCCUUGGUGUGCCAUUACCACACCAACUAGCUAAUCAGACGCAAGCUCAUCUAUUAGCGGAUUACUCCUUUCCCACUAGAACCAUGUGAUUCUUAUGGCAUAUGCGGUAUUAGCAAUGAUUUCUCACUGUUAUUCCCCUCUAAUAGGCAGAUUGCUUACGCGUUACUCACCAGUCCGCCACUAACCGCUUCUCAAUAUAAAUAUUAAGAUUAAGUCCGUUCGACUUGCAUGUCCUAUGUGCGCCGCCAGCGUUUAUCCUGAGCCAGACUCAAACUC